ensembl:lncRNA
CCCCGGUGCCUCCUCCCUGGGAGCGUGCUUUCUGAUCACCCUUUGCUAACAGACAGUGAGGAAAUAUUGCACUGCUGUUGCAGCUGCUUGGAGAACUCCUCAAAUACAGUGCAAACACCGCACUGAAACAAAGCAACGGGAGAAUGCUGCAGCAGAGACCUCAGCUGAGAGGCAAGAUGCAAGAUUUAUUAUGACACAGUGCAGAGGAUAUCUGAAAGGGAAGUCUAACCAAAGCAUUAAUGUGUCUUUUCCUCUUUCCUUCCCUCUUCCCCCUACCCCCCAUGUUAUUUUCCUUUGCAAUUCCUAUGUAUACAUAUAAAAUUGUUUCUUUUCUCAAGUGAAACGGCAUCUAAAAUGAUGAAGAAUUUUAGGAGGUGACUGUUUCCUAAGAUCUUUUCUACUUGUUUUGUUCUGUGUUCCAGUGUUCUCUACCCACAGGACUCUGAAACGCUGAGAUUUCAGCAGUUCAUAUGUCUGCCUGCCCACCUCUUUUAUUAAAGGGUUGUGUUUCUCUUCUGUCAACACCUAUUCUUUAGCAUACAUCUCUGCUAUCAUUCAGGAAAAUGUUGGCAUAACAUUUUUUUUUUCUUUUUCUUUUUUUCCUUUUAAAUUCAUUUCUGUAGCCGGGCUUUUCCUUUUAAGUCUCCUUCAUUUCUGUCAUCGGUUUCAACCCCAAAGUUCUCACUUUUGCAAGACAAUGCGCUAUUUUCACACGUGUAAAACACUGAGCAAAGUGGAAUCGCAGAUGUCACAUUUACAUGUUUAUGUUUUUUGUUUCUUUUUUUUUCUCUGCCGGUCGCUCACUUCAACUCUCCAAGCCCAAGAUACUGCAGUGGAGCUGAGAUUCCCUGCGUUCCUGCAUGCAGACCUCCAGCUUUCUGAAACGAAAAAGACAGAAAAAACACCCUCCCAGGCGGAAAGGUGAGUCGUGGGGAAGAAACUCCCCCAGGCUGCCCACUGCUGAGGUUCCCCACCAGGAUAGCAGAGAGGACCUGCUUUUGGCUCAGCGUGGAGAGGCCGUGGGAUCUGCCCCCGGAUCCAGCAGGUCGGUGGGAUGCCGCGACCCCAUGCCCUGCAGCUCGCUCCUUUGUUCCAGGGCUGGCAGCCAGAGCCCUAUGAGCAGAGCUGGGGUCUCCACAGGAGUCCCCGCUCCCAUGAUGGGGUCCCCAGCCCUGCUCCUACUGCGGGGUGUUCGCACUGCAGGGUGUUAUUAAUGAUUUCUGGGGUGCCGUGUGUGUAAAAAACGUGCUCUAUGGAAGAGGCAUCGCAAAUUUAAUUUGCCUCUCUUGAGCACUUUUGCCUGGAUGUACGUGAGCUCACAGCCCAGGUGUGAGUCGCUCUGCCCCAAGCUCCAGCUCCUCGUGCCACAUCAACCUGCAGCUCCCCGCUCCCCAGAUUUUUCAAAGCCUUUCAGUUUGGCCAGAUCGGGCUCUUUUUCACAGAAAC